UACGAAGGGGACUAGCGUUGUUCGGAUUUACUGGGCGUAAAGGGCUCGUAGGCGGCCAACUAAGUCGGAUGUGAAAUCCCCAAGCUUAACUUGGGAACUGCAUCCGAUACUGGAUGGCUUGAAUCCGGGAGAGGGAUGCAGAAUUCCAGGUGUAGCGGUGAAAUGCGUAGAUAUCUGGAGGAACACCGGUGGCGAAGGCGGCAUCCUGGACCAACACUGACACUGAGGAGCGAAAGCCAGGGGAGCAAACGGG
rnacentral:rRNA from 1 species